GUGAAUCAUCGAAUCUUUGAACGCACAUUGCGCCCGCCAGCAUUCUGGCGGGCAUGCCUGUUCGAGCGUCAUUUCAACCCUCGAGCCCCCCCGGGGGCCUCGGUGUUGGGGGACGGCACACCAGCCGCCCCCGAAAUGCAGUGGCGACCUCGCCGCAGCCUCCCCUGCGUAGUAGCACACACCUCGCACCGGAGCGCGGAGACGGUCACGCCGUAAAACGCCCAACUUCUUAGAGUUGACCUCGGAUCAGGUAGGAAUACCCGCUGAACUUAAGCAUAUCAAUAAGCGGAGGA
rnacentral:misc_RNA from 1 species